AGCGUAACUGAGGCAAGAUCUUACAAAGGGUCCCUGAGCAAUGAAGACAACUAGCAGCCCAGAAUUUAAAAGUUUAUGGCUACUUUGUUUCAAACUCAUUCUCUUUCCUUAAAACACUCCUCCUAGCGUUUUCAAUCAUGAUGCUAUUCUUACACAAGCUAUGUGGUGCUCAAACUAUUAAUAACUUCUCUUUCAAAUAUUUCACACUAAAUUAUGUGUAUUUUUUCUAGCAUUACAAGCACACAAGUAAUAUAAAAAAAAGUCACCAACUCCAUUAUUCAGUAUCCAAAGCAAAAUCUGACCCAAAAAACAUAAAAGAUCUUAGAUUCGAGUAAAAGUGUUGUUUACACCAGUUAGUUCAGCUGUCUUAAGGGCCUAGAACUAGAGACUUUACAGUGGUAACUUUGGGGAACACCCUUGCUUGCUUCUGUGGUAGCUACAGAGUACAGCCAGCCAACCAUCUUGCAAAUAAAUACAUUUCCUUAGUCAUUAUAAACACUACACAAAAGAAAUCAAAUAGAUUAGAACAAAUGUCUUUUCAUUAUUGAAUAAACAACUCAAGGUUCAUCGUCUACUCAUAAUAUUAAUAGUCAUUUGAAAAAGUAUUUACUGGAAGUGUUCAAUGGCAUAAUAAAUGCUUUGAUAUACUGUGAUAAAAAUCAGCAUAAAAACUGUAUAUACACUUCAACAACAGGGAAUUAGUUAAGGAAACACUGGUCGGUCUACAUGGAACUGUACACAGACAAUAAAAAUCAUGUUUUAGAAGAAUAUUUAAGAAGUAGGGAAAUGCGUUCACAGUUCAUCUUUGUAUCAGUCAUGGUCCCGCCAGGAACAGAUAGCUCUAACAGGUGACUGAGAAGAGUGACUAUUUGAAAAGGUGCAGGCAGGGAUAAGGAACCCAAGGAGAGAUGGUGAAGCCCCCCAGGGCUAGCAACAUGGGAGUCCUUACCACUCUUAGGCCUGAAAGAGCAGGGAGGAAGCAACUAUUGAGCAAAACACAGUAACACCUGUAGCUAUAGAAGACCGCACGGCAGGAGCUGUGGACUUGGUGGAAUGAUGCCUCUUCCAACCCACGGCCUGGCAAGGAGGCAUCUGGGAAACAAAUGCUUCAGUCAGUCUGUCUUCCCACCACGGGAUGGCCUAUCAGUGCCUUCCCCUGGCAGCAUCCAUCCCAGAGGGCAAGGGAGCCUUUAGAGGUCAGCCUCCCAGAGCACAGCUGGACGGAGGAGGGCGGAGCGUGGAUCUGGAGGAGUAAAUGGAGAACACUCCACCUAACACUAAGUGGAAAGCACAGUAUUACAAUGUAAUCCUGAAUUUGCAAAUAUACGCAUGAUGUCACAGGUCAGGUUCCCUGGCAAAGAGAUUGGGAGAUUUACGUGCAGGUGUGUCAGGAUGCGCUCUCGGAAAUAGUACUGGGAGCGGGGAGGCAGGACCGUCAGAGGGAGAGGGGAACUGUGACGCGGUUGCAGCAGGGGCCUUGGUGACGCCCACAUGGAGCGCUGGAGCUGGGAUGGCCCUUCAGAGCUGUCACAAUCGAGGCAAGGAGGCUGGGCUUGAGUAGCCCCCCAACCACAGAUUACUGGAUGCAGGCUUCCCUGUGAGGCCAGGGGCGACGCCCGGAUAGCACCAUUAGCAGCUACGCUCCAGGCACUGGAGGAUGAAGGAAUGAGAUGUCAUCUUGGAACCAGGGAGCAGGCCUCACCAGACAACUGGACCUGCCAACACCUUCGUCUCGGACUUCUGAGCCUCCAGAACCGUGAGAAAAUUUCUCAAGACAGAAGUGUCGGCCAAACCGUAGAUGCAGAUGUGAUUUGACCAACAGAACAAAGUCACUGUAUCAAAAUGGAGAUCACCAUGGCAUUGACAAGGGAAGCAGGAGGAUCUCAGUGUCCAAGAAGGGUAAAGUCCUUUACACAGCUCCCAAGACUUUUCUGGAUCAAAUCCUCCCCGUCUUGCUUCAUUCUGUACACAUAUUCUUCUGUGUUCACCCAUCCACCCACCUCAAGUCCUUGAAGGCAGAGACUGUAUUACUCGUCUUUGUAUUCACGGUUCCCAGCACUGCCUGACACAUAGUAGAUACUUUGUAAACAUUUGUGGAAUGGAUGAAUGCUUGCCCGGGGGAUACAGGUAAUAAUCAGAUGCAGCAGCUCACACUGUAUCAGAGACUUGGCAGAGCCUCUGGUGCUCUCGAGGCACCACCAUGGCCAAGGUGAGCAUCCCCACCUUGGUCUCCUUCACUGGCCAACCAGGCAGCACAACGUCAACAGUUGAGGCUGCACCUAGAUAAGCACAAUAAGAAUGGGACACUACUGGACCCACAGAUCAGGCCCUAACAUUGCUGGAUGAUUGCCUACACUGGAAUGUAAACCUUCGAACUUCUAACAGAGUGUCUAGUGAGAAUGUUUGGUGGUACUAAGGUGUUUUCUGCAACAAGUCAGGCUGGGUGGCUCUGACUCAAUGUGUUCGCUGGGUUCCUAGCACUUUUAAAGAGAAAAUUCUCUGCAAAAUGGCCAGUAAUUGUUGCUGAAUAGGCCCUGGAUAUCCUGCAGAAGAGGUAGGAGGCGGCCCACGGAAAGGCAAGUGCAGGGGCUCUGCCGCCCCACGUCUCCUCUCCAGCCUGGGGCACUGUGGUCGGAUCAGAUCAGCCUGUGAACCACCUUAUGACAGAGGGGGCAUGGUGCUACCUGGCAUUCAUUGUCUUCAAGUGUUCCCUCCGCCUCAAGUCUUAGAGAACUUUGGUUGUCUCUAAACUGUGUGUGCGAGACAGAGAAGGUAGGGGUUGAGAGAGAGAAAAAAAAAGAUGCUAGAUGACUUCUCAGGUCCCUUCUGGAUCUAAAAUGUUGAGAUGAUUGUUCUGAAAGCACUAACAAUGGAUUUCCAGCUUUGGAAUCUGUGACUAGCAGUAUUCAAAACAUAUUCAUGAUUGCAGGAAGUAAGGCAGAGGAUCCCUAAGUGGAGAUACAAAACUAAAAAGGAAAGUGCGAGUGAAAUAUAUAAACUUCAAAUCAUUAGAAAGGCAAUACCACUUAAGCCACCUAGUCCGUACAGUGUCUCUAAGAUGGUCAAUUGGAAAGUAAGGCUCUUUGCUACAAGAGGCACUUAAAAAGGACAUAUAGUCCCAAACACUCCAGGUUUUCAUUUAUAUAGAUUAA